rnacentral:rRNA from 1 species
GACGGAGGAUGCAAGUGUUAUCCGGAAUCACUGGGCGUAAAGCGUCUGUAGGUGGUCAAAUAAGUCAACUGUUAAAUCUUGAGGCUCAACCUCAAAAUCGCAGUCGAAACUAUUCGACUAGAGUAUAGUAGGGGUAAAGGGAAUUUCCAGUGGAGCGGUGAAAUGCGUAGAUAUCGUAAGGAACGCCAGUGGCGAAAGCGAAAUCUCUGGGCAGCAACUGACGCUGAGGUGCGAAAGCGUGGGGAGCAAACAGGG